rnacentral:rRNA from 1 species
AUACUUAGUGGCAGACGGGUGAGUAACAUGUAGGUAUCUACCCUUUGGCCUGGAAUAACACGAGGAAACUUGUGCUAAUACCGGAUAAGUCUUUACGGAGAAAGCUUUAUGCACCAUUGGAUGAGCCUGCACUUGAUUAGUUUGUUGGUGGGGUAAUGGCCUACCAAGACUGUGAUCAAUAGCUGAUUUGAGAGGAUGAUCAGCCACAUUGGGACUGAGACACGGCCCAAACUCCUACGGGAGGCAGCAGUGGGGAAUCUUGCACAAUGGAGGAAACUCUGAUGCAGCGAUGCCGCGUGAGUGAAGAAGGCCUUUGGGUUGUAAAGCUCUUUCGUCGGGGAAGAAAAUGACUGUACCCGAAUAAGAAGGUCCGGCUAACUUCGUGCCAGCAGCCGCGGUAAUACGAAGGGACCUAGCGUAGUUCGGAAUUACUGGGCUUAAAGAGUUCGUAGGUGGUUGAAAAAGUUAGUGGUGAAAUCCCAGAGCUUACCUCUGGAACUGCCAUUAAAACUUUUCA